AGUGAACGCUGGCGGUAGGCCUAACACAUGCAAGUCGAACGGCAGCACAGAGGAGCUUGCUCCUUGGGUGGCGAGUGGCGGACGGGUGAGGAAUACAUCGGAAUCUACUCUGUCGUGGGGGAUAACGUAGGGAAACUUACGCUAAUACCGCAUACGACCUACGGAUGAAAGCAGGGGAUCUUCGGACCUUGCGCGAUUGAAUGAGCCGGUGUCGGAUUAGCUAGUUGGCGGGGUAAAGGCCCACCAAGGCGACGAUCCGUAGCUGGUCUGAGAGGAUGAUCAGCCACACUGGAACUGAGACACGGUCCAGACUCCUACGGGAGGCAGCAGUGGGGAAUAUUGGACAAUGGGCGCAAGCCUGAUCCAGCCAUACCGCGUGGGUGAAGAAGGCCUUCGGGUUGUAAAGCCCUUUUGUUGGGAAAGAAAACCAUCUGGUUAAUACCCGGGUGGGAUGACGGUACCCAAAGAAUAAGCACCGGCCAACUUCGUGCCAGCCGCCGCAGUAA
rnacentral:rRNA from 1 species